GGCCAUGCCUAGUACGGCGAGUGAGCGGCACAGCUCAAUUUGAAAUCUGGCUCUUUUAGAGUCCGAGUUGUAAUUUGCAGAGGGCGCUUUGGCUUUGGCAGCGGUCCAAGUUCCUUGGAACAGGACGUCACAGAGGGUGAGAAUCCCGUACGUGGUCGCUGGCUAUUGCCGUGUAAAGCCCCUUCGACGAGUCGAGUUGUUUGGGAAUGCAGCUCUAAAUGGGAGGUACAUUUCCUUCUAAAGCUAAAUAUUGGCCAGAGACCGAUAGCGCACAAGUAGAGUGAUCGAAAGAUGAAAAGCACUUUGGAAAGAGAGUCAAACAGCACGUGAAAUUGUUGAAAGGGAAGCGCUUGCAGCAGACUUGCUUACAGUUGCUCAUCCGGGUUUCUACCCGGUGCACUUCUUCUGUAGCCAGGCCGCAUCAUUUUGGGCGGUAGAUAAAGUCUCUGUCACGAUACUCCUUUCCGGGGAGGCCUUAUGGGGAAAGAACUUGUUCCAGCCGGACUGAGUCGCGCAUCUGCUAGGAUGCUGGGUAAUGCCGUAGCGCCCUUCUGAAACGGACCAAA
rnacentral:rRNA from 1 species